rnacentral:lncRNA from 1 species
AGUGUCCAACGUUGCCUCGCGGAGGCCGCCGUGCGGAGCAAAUGUCUAACGGAAAUCAGAGGUGGAAAAGAGGUUGGAGGAGCCUGUUCCGUUCCACCCGCGUUUACUGAUGCGCCCACCAGCAGCCACGCUUGGGGCUGGGGGCUUUGAGGACACGCACGCUGCCUUAAAUAUAAUGGACAUCCGUAUGGAUUAAGACUCUAUACAAGCUUUCUCUUUAGUACACCAGGGGAAAGUGAAAAAAGAACCACAUUUGAAUUCGGCUUUGUCACUACAAGUGGGUGACCAUGAGCAAGUUACUAACCUCAGUGAACCUGUUCCUAACCUAAAAAGGAGGAGAAUGGAGAGCAGGUAAUAAUACCUUAUGAGAUGGUUGUGAGAGUUAUAUAGCAUUCUUUAUGUCAUAGUCCUAGCAAAGUGCUGGCAUAAAAUAGGUGCUCCCUAAAUGUUAAUUACCUACCUUCCUUUCCCUUUCUGUCAGAUUUUCUCUACUAUUCUUAUGAAAUAAUAAAGAGUUUUUGUAAUUAAAUAUGCUUUA